UACGUAGGGUGCAAGCGUUGUCCGGAAUUAUUGGGCGUAAAGAGCUCGUAGGCGGUCUGUCGCGUCGGAAGUGAAAACCUGGGGCUUAACCCCGGGCCUGCUUUCGAUACGGGCAAGCUAGAAUUCGGUAGGGGAGACUGGAAUUCCUGGUGUAGCGGUGAAAUGCGCAGAUAUCAGGAGGAACACCGGUGGCGAAGGCGGGUCUCUGGGCCGAUAUUGACGCUGAGGAGCGAAAGCGUGGGGAGCGAACAGG
rnacentral:rRNA from 1 species